UGCCAGCCGCCGCGGUAAUACGAAGGGGGCAAGCGUUGUUCGGAAUUACUGGGCGUAAAGAGUACGUAGGCGGCUUUUCAAGUCAGAUGUGAAAGCCCAAGGCUCAACCUUGGAACUGCAUUUGAUACUGAAUCGCUUGAGUGUUAGAGAGGUAAGCAGAAUUCCCAGUGUAGAGGUGAAAUUCGUAGAUAUUGGGAGGAAUACCGGUUGCGAAGGCGGCUUACUGGCUAACAACUGACGCUGAGGUACGAAAGCGUGGGGAGCAAACAGGAUUAGAUA
rnacentral:rRNA from 1 species